rnacentral:rRNA from 1 species
GAUCUGGCUCAGGAUGAACGCUGGCGGCGUGCUUAACACAUGCAAGUCGAACGGGAAUUACUUUAUUGAAACUUCGGUCGAUUUAAUUUAAUUCUAGUGGCGGACGGGUGAGUAACGCGUGGGUAACCUGCCUUAUACAGGGGGAUAACAGUCAGAAAUGGCUGCUAAUACCGCAUAAGCGCACAGAGCUGCAUGGCUCGGUGUGAAAAACUCCGGUGGUAUAAGAUGGACCCGCGUUGGAUUAG